rnacentral:rRNA from 1 species
AGCGAACGCUGGCGGCGUGCCUAACACAUGCAAGUCGAACGUGAAAAGGGAAACCUGAGUAAAGUGGCGUACGGGUGAGUAACGCGUAGGUAAUCUACCCCAGAAUCUGGAAUAACCUGCCGAAAGGCGGGCUAAUACUGGAUAGAGCGAGGGAACUCGUAAGAGAGUUUUUCGGUAAAGGGAGCCCGCCAGGGCCUUCGUUCUGGGAUGAGCCUGCGUCUCAUUAGCUAGUUGGUAAGGUAACGGCUUACCAAGGCGAUGAUGAGUAGCUGGUCUGAGAGGAUGAUCAGCCACACUGGAACUGAAACACGGUCCAGACUCCUACGGGAGGCAGCAGUGGGGAAUCGUGAGCAAUGGACGAAAGUCAGACGCAGCCACGCCGCGUGAGUGAAGAAGGACGUCGGGUUGUAAAGCUCUGUCGGAUGGGACGAACAUCUUCAUAGUGAAUAGCUAUGAGGACUGACGGUACCAUCAAAGGAAGCACCGGCUAACUCCGUG